GACGAACGCUGGCGGCGUGCCUAAUACAUGCAAGUCGAGCGAUGAAGAUUGGUGCUUGCACCAAUUUGAAGAGCAGCGCACGGGUGAGUAACGCGUGGGGAAUCUGCCUUUGAUCGGGGGACAACAUUUGGAAACGAAUGCUAAUACCGCAUAACAACUUUAAACAUAAGUUUUAAGGUUGAAAGAUGCAAUUGCAUCACUCAAAGAUGAUCCCGCGUUGUAUUAGUUAGGUGGUGAGGUAAAGGCUCACCAAGGCGAGGAUACAUAGCCGACCUGAGAGGGUGGGCGGCCACACUGGGACGGGGAAACGGCCAAAACGCCUACGGGAGGCAGCAGUAGGGAAUCUUCGGCAAUGGACGAAAGUCUGACCGAGAAACGCCGCGUGAGGGAAGAAGGUUUUCGGAUCGUAAAACUCUGUUGGUAGAGAAGAAAGUUGGUGAGAGUGGAAAGCUCAUCAAGUGACGGUAACUACCCAGAAAGGGACGGCUAACUACGUG
rnacentral:rRNA from 1 species